CACCCUGACAUUUUAUAAUGACCUCUCAAAGCCUACUAUGCUACGGAGGCAAACCAUGCGCCCGGUCACCAGUGUGCUGAGGCAGAGAAAGACACCAUACCGCUGGAGCACACCACGCUCCCUCCAGGUCACUGUGGAGGGGAAUGUCCAUACGCUACACUCACCAGCAGAGGGCAAACUGUUUCUAACCCAGCAUGGCAUCACCACACAGACGGAACCAGGGAAGCGCAGCUCACGGACACAGCAGUGGGAUGUGGAGAACAUCACCUUGUUCGAACCACGAGGUCCCUGCACAUCCACAGCGGACCCAGGAGACUAAAACCCAGAGACUGUUGGCACGGGACAU